ensembl:lncRNA
UUCACCAAACACAACUAUGAAAGAUAAUGAAGAGAAUCAUGGAAAAGUGAUAGGGUGUGAAUACCUAGUGCCAGCAUUAGCAGUUACUAAUGUGGCAUCCAUAUCGUUCAUCAUUUGGCUCUGUCACCUCUUAAAGAAGAAACGAUUAGGUGUAACAGCUGAAGGCUUCAGUGCAAGUGACAACGUGGCAAGUGACAAAGUGGUAGUUAAAUAUCAAAGAAUUAAACAUUUAAAAUCUCUAACUUAUUACAUUUUAU